rnacentral:tRNA from 1 species
GCUGGCGUAGCUCAGUCGGUUAGAGCGCCUGAUUGUGGAUCAGGAGGUCGGAGGUUCGAAUCCCCCCGCCAGUACCA